UACGAGGGGUGCUAGCGUUGUUCGGAAUCAUUGGGCGUAAAGAGUAUGUAGGCGGCCAUAUAAGUCAGUUGUGAAAUCCCCGGGCUCAACCCGGGAAGUGCAAUUGAUACUGUAUGGCUUGAGUAUGGAAGAGGGUAGUGGAAUUCCAGGUGUAGUGGUGAAAUACGUAGAUAUCUGGAGGAAUACCGGUGGCGAAGGCGGCUACCUGGUCCUAUACUGACGCUGAGAUACGAAAGCGUGGGGAGCAAACAGG
rnacentral:rRNA from 1 species